CAUAAAGCUUUGUUUAAUUUUCUCUUGCUAUUCUGUCUCAUGUGAAUUUAAUUCCUUCUCCUGCCAGACGAACCUACAUUUGGGAAGAGGAAAUGUCUUCCUCACCUACAGUUUUGGUGCAGUCAGCAGGAUAAAAUUUCACUGGCUGGACACUGCUUGCUCCUGGACUGCUGCAGCUGAGAGAUCCUGGACCCCUGACGAGAGCCGGCAAGAGGUGAGAGUUCUUACCAUGUCAGUCUCCCGGAUCUCUGCCUGCAGGCUCCAGUGGAAGCAAGAGUGGACAAUUCACCUGGCAAUUAUGACUACCAGGCAUAAAAGGGAUGCAAUGCUGAGGGACCCCCCACCAUCGCCCCAUGCUAUAGGAACCCCACAGGCAGAACAAGUAGGACACUGCCCUAUGUUCAGGAAAUUUUCAAGGACACAAUUGGAAACAUUGGUUGUAUUACCAAGGCUUUGACUGGAAUGUCAUAUUUGAGAGGAACAUACAGACUCGGAUAUGACAAUACAGCCUUUGAGGAAUAAGGUUCACUUUCUGAAAUAAGCCACUUGGAAAUAUGGGCCUGGUACCUGGUUUACAGAGAUUCUGGCAAUCUUACCUGGCCUAACUUUGGGAGACCACCUGCAUCGCCGCCUUCUAAAAUGACUUUAACUGGACUGAUCUAUUACCAGGACUAAGAAAUGUGUUAAGUGAGAUGAAACAAUCUACCACUCAGAUUCUG